UGCUCUCUCUUGGGAACUGAUCUGCUGUCAGUCAUAUGCACUUUAGUGAGAAUAAGUCCAAGUCCUUGAUUCUUGUCUCCUGGGGGAGAUUUACACUUAAAUCCCACGGCUCAUUGCUAAAGAACAGGAAGGCUCUGCCCAAGACUUGAAGCUUCAGGCACCAGGGAAGGAAGGGGAGGGUCCUCCCAAGAGUCUUGCUGAACAGCUGUGUACCCUGACCCCUGAACCUGGGAGGACCUGGCCACGGGCCUGCUUCCCAAAGGCUCCUCCCCCUCGAGGGGAGCGGCCGUGCUGUUUGCAUGCUGCUUUAGAAGACACCAUCCUCAGACCUUCAGCGCUUACCACGUGCUGAGCGUCUUUGCUGUCGCCUCCUGCACGUGCACAGUGGCCCUCCAAAGUCAUCAUUGCUUUACAUGCCAGGCAAUGGAAGCCCAGACAGGGAAACAAGGGGAGAAAGCCAUGUGAAGGUGAGGUGGAGACUUGAGUGUCCUGGGAUACGUCGGCAUCUAUCAUCCAUCAUCUGUCUAUAGGACAAAUGCCAUACGCUGAGGAUGCUGUGGGCAGAGCCGGAAGUGUUUCGCAAACUUCAGCCCUUAUUAUCCAAUCUUGGUGAUUUUUGCAAUUGACCUGCACAAUCUUAACUUACUCAACAUUUUAAAAUGGACAUUUUAAAAGCCUGGUAUUUCUUAAAGAGGAAAGCUAUCCCCAUCACGCAUGGAAAAGGACCGCACUAGAGAUGAGCCUGAGAGGAAGGCAGGCGCCUUCACCGGGGAGAGGAAAGGCCGGCCCCGUGCCCCCAAAUUGCUCUGGGGCUUUGGUGCAUUGAGGCACUCAGCGAGAUGUGACUGCGCUUGGUGAAAAGGGGCUGCUUUGGGCUGAUGCCUGGGAAGAAGGUGACCGUUACGAACUAAAUUUCCCACCCUGAACACAUAGGGUUUUCUUUGUUUGUUUUGUUUUUGAGAUAAAGUCUCACUGUAUUGCCCAGGCUGGAGUGCAGUGGCGCGAU
rnacentral:lncRNA from 1 species